CCUACGGGAGGCAGCAGUGAGGAAUAUUGGUCAAUGGACGAGAGUCUGAACCAGCCAAGUAGCGUGAAGGAUGACUGCCCUAUGGGUUGUAAACUUCUUUUAUAUGGGAAUAAAAUGUUCCACGUGUGGGAUUUUGUAUGUACCAUAUGAAUAAGGAUCGGCUAACUCCGUGCCAGCAGCCGCGGUAAUACGGAGGAUCCGAGCGUUAUCCGGAUUUAUUGGGUUUAAAGGGAGCGCAGGUGGAUUGUUAAGUCAGUGGUGAAAGUUUGCGGCUCAACCGUAACAUUGCAGUUGAAACUGGCAGUCUUGAGUACAGGAGAGGUGGGCGGAAUUCGUGGUGUAGCGGUGAAAUGCUUAGAUAUCACGAAGAACUCCGAUUGCGAAGGCAGUUCACUGGACUGCAACUGACGCUGAGGCUCGAAAGUGUGGGUAUCAAACAGGAUUAGAUACCCUUGUAGUC
rnacentral:rRNA from 1 species